rnacentral:rRNA from 1 species
UACGUAGGGGGCAAGCGUUGUCCGGAAUCAUUGGGCGUAAAGAGCGUGUAGGCGGCCUGGUAAGUCCGCUGUGAAAGUCCAGGGCUCAACCCUGGAAUGCCGGUGGAAACUGUCAGGCUCGAGUCCGGAAGAGGCGAGUGGAAUUCCUGGUGUAGCGGUGAAAUGCGCAGAUAUCAGGAGGAACACCUAUAGCGAAGGCAGCUUGCUGGGACGUUACUGACGCUAAGGCGCGAAAGCGUGGGGAGCGAACAGG